rnacentral:rRNA from 1 species
UACGUAGGGUGCAAGCGUUAAUCGGAAUUACUGGGCGUAAAGCGUGCGCAGGCGGUUUGUUAAGUCUGUUGUGAAAUCCCCGAGCUCAACUUGGGAAUUGCAAUGGAUACUGGCAGGCUGGAGUAUGGUAGAGGAAGGUGGAAUUCCCGGUGUAGCAGUGAAAUGCGUAGAGGUCGGGAGGAACACCAGUGGCGAAGGCGGCCUUCUGGACCAAUACUGACGCUCAUGCACGAAAGCGUGGGGAGCAAACAGG